rnacentral:lncRNA from 1 species
GGAUUUCAUUUCCUGGAAGCUUGAAUAUAUGAAAGGCUCACAUGAGACAAAGUAUUUUCUUUGCCUCCAGUGCUGAGUUAAAGACUUAGCAAGCCUGAAUCAGCAUUUGAGGAAAACCUGCUAUCAGAGAAGAGGGAGUACAUACCUACUUACCAGCAAACGCUUAAUACAAGAAUAUUUUCACCUAUAUGAUAGAUUUCAAAAUACAAACUGUCGUCUUUAACAUACAAAAGCAGCUGCUAACUUUUUUUCCAUUACCAACACAACUUUCAACGCUAUUAAAAAUCAGAUGAAUUGGAAAGUGUUUUCAUAAAUAAACACCUUCAACAGUUUGUAUAAUUUCACUGAAUGAAAACCUCAUCCUUUAUCAACUUCUUGCAUGCAAGUUUGAUGCAACUGGUGGCAAGAACGUUAUGUCAACUAAGAGUGGUAACUACAUAAAUAAUCUAAAUGCCUGCCAACCCUCCUCCUCAGGUCAUUUUCUGUCUCUAAGGGUUAACUGGAGUUCACUGAUAACCUGCUGAAGUUCCUUACAACACAUAGCCACCGAGGAAGCUAUGCCAUGGCAUUCAAUAGCACUCUUGUUUUGAAGUGUUAUCUCAAUGCACAACUGUACAUUAAAACACUUUUAAAAUAAAGUUGAGCUUGGCUGUAUUGUAAGUACUGAA